rnacentral:rRNA from 1 species
CAGUAGCCGCGGGAAUACGUAGGUGGCUAGCGUUGUUCGGAAUUACUGGGCGUAAAGCGCACGUAGGCGGAUAUUUAAGUCAGGGGUGAAAUCCCAGAGCUCAACUCUGGAACUGCCUUUGAUACUGGGUAUCUUGAGUAUGGAAGAGGUGAGUGGAAUUCCGAGUGUAGAGGUGAAAUUCGUAGAUAUUCGGAGGAACACCAGUGGCGAAAGCGGCUCACUGGUCCAUUACUGACGCUGAGGUGCGAAAGCGUGGGGAGCAAACAGGAUUAGAUACCCCAGUAGUCCCUGUCUCUUAUAC